AUCAAUUUUUGAUGGUAUUUUAUGAUGAAUUGAAACUUUGGUUCGAAAAAAAAUUCUAUGAAGAUGCGCUAGAAUUUAUUGGUUUGGCUAUCAGUUUGUAAUUCAGUUUUUGCUGAUUUUUCAUAUUUUUGAAGUAUCGAUAUUACAAAUGGAAUUACAAAUGAAUUUGGUUCUGUUGAUCGACAAAGUUCAGAAUAAAUUUUCCCCAAUUAUCCUGAAAAUGACAAGAGAUUUUUUGUUUUAUCGUGGGAAAUUGUCGAUUGAUUUUGCUUUAGAUUGAUUGACCCUAAACUAUGAUUGAUCGGUCUCAAUCUUUAUUUCAAAUUGUGAUGGUCCAGUAAAAAGUUUAAGGAAACUGAUAUCUACGCCUUAUGAAAUCUUAGAAUUAUUACAACUAAUUUUUUGGUAAUUCAUUUUUUUUACUUGGCUAAAUUAUUUUUUAUUUCAGAAGAAUGAGUAUUCAAGGUAAUUUGGUCGUUAGUUUGUUUUUUGAUAAAUUCAAUCUGUAACGAAAAAAUUAGAUAAAAGCUUAUAUUGAAAUUAAAUCAUUGGUUUUAUGGUUCAUCCGACUGAAAUCUAAUUGGUGUUGGUCGAUGAUAUAACUAUGAAUUCAUAUUUCCUCACCUUGGUCGCGAAAGUCCAAUCACCUUUGACGCAUACAAA